rnacentral:lncRNA from 1 species
GAGGAGGAGGAGGGGGCAGAGCCUGUCAUCUUCAGCAGAGACAGUCUGGAGCCUGAGGGUGUCUCCUCUGACUCUGUGAUGGCGUCCGGACCAGGUCAGAACGCUGCAGUGUGUCUUAGUCUGGGCAUGGACAGCCUGGAGGAGGAAGAGGAGAAGGCCCACCUGGAGGGAGGUGCGUCCUCCACCAUAGACUACUCCAGACUCAACAAAGAUCUGGAUUCCACCAGCGCCUCCACCACAGCUACCACCCUCAGGAAAGCAGAGGCGGCUGUGGCCGGGGUCGAUCAGAGAGAGGAGGAGAAAGCUAUGGAGUCUGACAGACUCUCCCCAGCCUCCAAACACUACAGCGAGGAUGAGCACUUUGAAGAUGAGGUCAUUGAGGAGCUGAGAAAUUGGGUGAGACUAGGUUUUAUGCCAGUCUGGUUUGAAAAUGUAGUUAUUUAGUUCUAAUA